rnacentral:rRNA from 1 species
UGAUCCUGGCUCAGAGCGAACGUUGGCGGCGUGCUUAACACAUGCAAGUCGAGCGAGAAAGCUCUCUUCGGAGAGUGAGUAAAGCGGCGCACGGGUGAGUAACACGUGAGUAACAUGCCUUCAGGUUGGGGAUAACUACCCGAAAGGGUGGCUAAUACCCGAUAAGACUACAGCGGCUUCGGCCGCAGUGGUCAAAGUUCAGGCGCCUGAAGAUUGGCUCGCGGUUCAUUAGGUAGUUGGCGGGGUAAUGGCCCACCAAGCCAAAGAUGAAUAGCUGGUCUGAGAGGAUGAUCAGCCACACUGGGACUGAGACACGGCCCAGACUCCUACGGGAGGCAGCAGUGGGGAAUCUUGCGCAAUGGACGAAAGUCUGACGCAACAACGCCGCGUGUGUGAUGAAGGCUCUCGGGUCGUAAAGCACUGUCAGGAGGGAAGAACGCAGACGGUACCUCCAAAGGAAGCGCCGGCUAACUCCGUGCCAGCAGCCGCGGUAAUACGGAGGGCGCAAACGUUGCUCGGAAUCAUUGGGCGUAAAGCGUACGUAGGCGGCUUAUCAAGUCUGGUGUGAAAGCCCGGGGCUCAACCUCGGAAUGCCACUGGAAACUGGUAAGCUUGAGAGUGAGAGGGGUUAGUGGAAUUUCUGGUGUAGGGGUGAAAUCCGUAGAGAUCAGAAGGAACACCGGUGGCGAAGGCGACUGACUGGAUCACAUCUGACGCUGAGGUACGAAAGCGUGGUUAGCAAACAGGAUUAGAUACCCUGGUAGU